rnacentral:misc_RNA from 1 species
UCCAUUUAUCGAUGCUUCCUCGAAUAAGAGUUUAGAAAGGAUCGAAGACAUCGAUAAAAAAUAUAUAAGGAAAAACCGUCGAUAAAGGACUACAAUGGACUUUGUAUCAUCUAAGGCAGUAAAGCAAGCUUAUUUGCGGGCGGCCAAACAAAGCGAAAUCUUUAAUUUCGCAUGAUAAGAGAUCAGCAGAACAAGACUUUCAAGAUUCCAUUCCUUUCUCUUGCAUCAG